GGGUAUAUCAAGUUUUGAUUAUCAAAUACUAUGCAAAUUCUACAAUAGAUUCACCCUAACAACAAAACUCCAAAACGUAAAAAAAAUCAUCAGCUAAAACAAGAAUGCCAAACAAAAUUGACUUUGCUCUGUUACGUUGCCAUGGAGUUCAUCGAACGAGCGUAUCAUUGGCAGGCGACAGCAAAAAAAAGUCGUAUGGAGAUUAGUGUCGCAUUGAUCACAUCGUAAGCUACCGAUAAAAGUAAUUAGUGUUUCUCUUUCUUUGUCAAGGAUUCUCCUUUAUAUUCACUGCCUGUUGAAACCACAUAACCCGCUCCAACCUGUGCCCAACGUGUAAAAAUGAAGUAGGUUGAAUACAUGAAAGAACAAAAAUAAACAGUCGAUCCUAAUGCAAACAUCAAUGGUUAAUUUCCUGGCUCGAACCCGUGACUUAUAGGUCACAAGGACACCUUUACAUCGUUGCUCCAAGGCUUCAUUAUUAAUAGCAACAAUAAUAAUAUUGUUGGUGUUAUUAUAACAGAAAAAAAAAACAAGUGAAAAGAGGAAAAUCGGGAUACCUGUAGUUUUUGAACCAAGCUCGGUUGUCGGAUAAAUAAUUUUGUUUUGAGGAGAGAAAGGGGUCUUGGGUCGGGUCAGGGUAUAAAAGGGUAUAAAAGUGUUGGGUAAUUUUUAUUUUUUUUGUGAUGUGACAAUUACUAGCUUAUGUGGCCAUUAAAAAUUAAAAAAGAAAAAGAAAAAAAGUCUUGCAACUUUCUAGCAAAGCACUUAAUGUUUAAAGGGGUAUAUUUGCUCCUAAACUUUAACAGCAAGGACAUAUUUGGACCAAAACUUGUAACGGGAGGGCAUAUUUGAACGUUUUCGCAAAGUUUAGGAGCAUAUUUGACCCUUUUCCCUAUAAUCAUUGAUAGCCAAAUUACAAAGGCAACACUUAAAGUACUAGAACUACAAUAGAGAAUACUGUAUAAAACGUCCCGCCUUUUAAAAAAGUGUAAAUAACAUAAAUACCAACCCUUUUAGAAGUAUUUACUCUCUCUCUCGCUUUUUUAGUUACUUUACUCUCUCUCUAUUAAUAUACAUAACAUAACCGACAUAUACAUAGCAUUCUGCGUAUAUGUUGAAAUUUUUGAAAUAUGUUCAUAGAGUUAAGAUUUUUUGUAAUAUUGGAAACAUAAGUUGUGUAUUUGUGUAAUUUUUAGUUUAAAAUACUGGUUGGGCCUAGACCCCAAAUUGAUCUUCGUGAAAUCUUUUUGGUUCGAUUGCUACUUCUUGGCCCAAUAGCUACUUAUGUGAUAUAUGUAUUCAUCUUGGAUUUGGG
rnacentral:lncRNA from 1 species